GCAGAUCGAGGACGCUUACAAGACCGGUGUGAUGUUCUCGCUGCACGUCAAGGCCACCAUGAUGAAGGUCUCGCAUCCGAUUGUAUUCGGCCACUGCGUGAAGAUCUUCUAUUGUGAUGCUUUCGAAAAGCACGACGCGUUGUUCAAAGAGCUUGGCGUCAAUGUCAAUAAUGGCAUGGUUGACCUUUACACUAAGAUCGCCAGCCUGCCGCAGAGCAAACAGGACGAGAUCAAAAGCGAUCUGCACGCCUGCCACGCGCACCGUCCCGAGCUGGCGAUGGUUGAUUCCGCGAAGGGAAUUACGAAUUUCCACUCGCCGAACGACAUCAUCGUCGAUGCGUCG
rnacentral:misc_RNA from 1 species